rnacentral:pre_miRNA from 1 species
UUAAUACUCCCUCCGAUCUAUUACUUGUCGAAAUAUUACAUGUACCUAGACGCUUUUUAAAUAUAGAUACAUCCAUAUUUGGGCAAAUUUGAGACAAGUAAUAUGGGUCGGAGGGAGUAUAUG